AUUGAACGCUGGCGGCAUGCCUAACACAUGCAAGUCGAGCGGAUGAAGGGAGCUUUCUCCUGGAUUCAGCGGCGGACGGGUGAGUAAUUCCUAGGAAUCUGCCUGGUAGUGGGGGAUAACGUCAGGAAACGGGCGCUAAUACCGCAUACGUCCUGAGGGUGAAAGGGGGGGAUCUUCGGACCUCACGCUAUCUGAUGAGCCUAGGUCGGAUUAGCUAGUUGGUGGGGUAAAGGCCUACCAAGGCGACGAUCCGUAACUGGUCUGAGAGGAUGAUCAGUCACACUGGAACUGAGACACGGUCCAGACUCCUACGGGAGGCAGCAGUGGGGAAUAUUGGACAAUGGGCGAAAGCCUGAUCCAGCCAUGCCGCGUGUGUGAAGAAGGUCUUCGGAUUGUAAAGCACUUUAAGUUGGGAGGAAGGGCAGUAAGUUAAUACCUUGCUGUUUUGACGUUACCAACAGAAUAAGCACCGGCUAACUUCGUG
rnacentral:rRNA from 1 species